rnacentral:rRNA from 1 species
UACGGAGGGGGCUAGCGUUGUUCGGAAUUACUGGGCGUAAAGCGCACGUAGGCGGCUUUGUAAGUUAGAGGUGAAAGCCCAGGGCUCAACCCUGGAAUUGCCUUUAAGACUGCAUCGCUUGAACAUCGGAGAGGUAAGUGGAAUUCCGAGUGUAGAGGUGAAAUUCGUAGAUAUUCGGAAGAACACCAGUGGCGAAGGCAGCUCUCUGGGACGGUACUGACGCUGAGACGCGAAAGCGUGGGGAGCGAACAGG